rnacentral:misc_RNA from 1 species
GUAGGUGAACCUGCGGAAGGAUCAUUAUUGAAUAUUCUUGAUGGGUUGUAGCUGGCUCUUCGGAGCAUGUGCACGCCUGUCUUGACUUAAUUCAUCCACCUGUGCACCUUUUGUAGUCUUGGGGGUUGAGUGCAGUCGACUGUCGGAUGGCUAUCAUGGCCUAUCCGGAUGUGAGGAAUGCGGAGUGCGAAAGCAUGCAGCUCUCUUCAAAACGGCUUGUGACACCUCGAGUACUAUGUAUUCAUACACCACAUAGUAUGUUGUAGAAUGCGAUCAGUGGGCCUAUGUGCCUAUAAUAAUCAAAUACAACUUUCAGCAACGGAUCUCUUGGCUCUC